GACGAACGCUGGCGGCGUGCCUAAUACAUGCAAGUAGAACGCUGAAGAGAGGAGCUUGCUCUUCUUGGAUGAGUUGCGAACGGGUGAGUAACGCGUAGGUAACCUGCCUGGUAGCGGGGGAUAACUAUUGGAAACGAUAGCUAAUACCGCAUAAAAUUGAUUAUUGCAUGAUAAUUAAUUGAAAGAUGCAACUGCAUCACUACCAGAUGGACCUGCGUUGUAUUAGCUAGUUGGUGAGGUAACGGCUCACCAAGGCGACGAUACAUAGCCGACCUGAGAGGGUGAUCGGCCACACUGGGACGGAGACACGGCCCAGACUCCUACGGGAGGCAGCAGUAGGGAAUCUUCGGCAAUGGGGGGAACCCUGACCGAGCAACGCCGCGUGAGUGAAGAAGGUUGUCGGAUCGUAAAGCUCGGUUGUAAGAGAAGAACGGGUGUGAGAGUGGAAAGUUCACACUGUGACGGUAGCUUACCAGAAAGGGACGGCUAACUACGUG
rnacentral:rRNA from 1 species